rnacentral:rRNA from 1 species
CCUACGGGAGACAGCAGUAGGGAAUAUUGCUCAAUGGGGGAAACCCUGAAGCAGCAACGCCGCGUGGAGGAUGAAGGUUUUAGGAUUGUAAACUCCUUUUGUUAGAGAAGAUUAUGACGGUAUCUAACGAAUAAGCACCGGCUAACUCCGUGCCAGCAGCCGCGGUAAAACGGGGGGUGGAAGCGUUACUCGGAAUCACUGGGCGUAAAGGGUGCGUAGGGGGGGUAAUAAGUCAGAUGUGAAAUCCUGUAGCUUAACUACAGAACUGCAUUUGAAACUGGGAGUCUGGAGUGUGGGAGAGGUAGGUGGAAUGCUUGGUGUAGGGGUAAAAUCCGUAGAGAUCAAGAGGAAUACUCAUUGCGAAGGCAACCUGCUGGAGCAUUACUGACGCUGAUGCACGAAAGCGUGGGGAGCGAACAGGAUUAGAUACCCCUGUAGUC